rnacentral:rRNA from 1 species
CAGUCGCCGCGGUAAUACAGAGGGUGCGAGCGUUAAUCGGAUUUACUGGGUGUAAAGCGUGCGUAGGCGGCUUCUUAAGUCGGAUGUGAAAUCCCUGAGCUUAACUUAGGAAUUGCAUUCGAUACUGGGAAGCUAGAGUAUGGGAGAGGAUGGUAGAAUUCCAGGUGUAGCGGUGAAAUGCGUAUAGAUCUGGAGGAAUACCGAUGGCGAAGGCAGCCAUCUGGCCUAAUACUGACGCUGAGGUACGAAAGCAUGGGGAGCAAACAGGAUUAGAUACCCCUGUAGUCCCUGUCUCUUAUAC